AUUGAACGCUGGCGGCAGGCCUAACACAUGCAAGUCGAACGAGUGGCGGACGGGUGAGUAAUGUCUGGGAAACUACCCGAUGGAGGGGGAUAACUACUGGAAACUGUAGCUAAUACCGCAUACCAUCGGAUGUGCCCAGAUGGGAUUAGCUAGUUGGUGGGGUAAAGGCUCACCUAGACGACGAUCCCUAGCUGGUCUGAGAGGAUGACCAGCAACACUGGAACUGAGACACGGUCCAGACGCCUACGGGAGGCAGCAGUGGGGAAUAUUGCACAAUGGGCGCAAGCCGGAUGCAGCCAUGCCGCGUGUAUGAAGAAGGCCUUCGGGUUGUAAAGUACUUUCAGCGAGGAGGCGUUACUCGCAGAAGAAGCACCGGCUAACUCCGUGCCAGCAGCCGCGGUAAUAC
rnacentral:rRNA from 1 species